CCUACGGGUGGCUGCAGUGGGGAAUAUUGCGCAAUGGGCGAAAGCCUGACGCAGCGACGCCGCGUGAGAGAUGAAGGUCUUCGGAUUGUAAAACUCUGGCAGCAGGGAAGAACGGUAAAUGGGCUAAGCAGCAGUGAAUUGACGGUACCAGCAAAGGAAGCACCGGCUAACUCCGUGCCAGCAGCCGCGGUCAUACGGAGGGUGCGAGCGUUAAUCGGAAUUACUGGGCGUAAAGCGCUCGUAGGCGGUAUGGCAAGUCAAGGGUGAAAUCCCCGCCCUCAACUUGGGAACUGCCUUUGAAACUGGCAAACUGGAGUGUGUGAGAGGGUAGUGGAAUUCCCGGUGU
rnacentral:rRNA from 1 species